CGAUAACGAAUCGCACGAGCGAGGCCUUCUGCCCUCGAGCGAGCAGUCGCACGCACCAGUCGCACACCAGAUCCCUUCGCCGCCGCCCUCCAUCCUUCGCCAUCGCAGAUCCAUCCCGCCGCCGCCGCUCCAUCCCUCUCUUCCCUCCAAGCUUGUCGCCGGCGGCGAAGCGUACGGCGCUCCAUCCCUUCGCCUGCAGGAACCUAUCACGCGCGCCGAGGCGAGGGCCUCGUGGACUCCGUCCGACGCCGCUUGGCCGACGACCCUGCCGCCGGGCAGGAGGAGUGUUCCACGCCGUGAGGAACCCGCCACGCGCGUCAAGGCGAGGCGCCUCCUGGGCUCCGUCCGUUUCCAGAGCGAGCGCCCGCGAAUACCUAGCUAGCCGCCGCCGUCGUGACCGUUCCAGCCACCGCCAAGGUAAGCUAGAUCAAACUCGGCACAGAUGCACAUGCACCGCGCGCCUCACUGAUGUGAGGAUCCAUUUCCUCAAUCCCCUCUUAAUCUCCAACAUCUCCCCCUUCCAGUGUUGGCGUACUUGACCGGAAGUGAGUGCGCGGCAGAGCAAAGCUCAGCCUGGGUCUUCAUCAAUGCAAGACGGGGCAGGAGGGAGCGGGAAGUUUUUCAGCCACAUGAAUGUGGAAGGCGCUUGACAAAUCAGAGAUGUAUGAAGCUUCUGCCGAGAUGUUUGAGAGGGGCAGCAUAGACAUAAGAGGGGUUCAAUAUUGUUAACUCACAUCAUCCAGACCAGUCAUGGUUGUCCUUGACUAUAGUGUACUUAGGAGGAGGAGAUGAACAUGAAGAAUGAGUUCGUAAUGUGGUUGUCGUUGAUUAAUGGCACCCCCAGCAGCGGUGAUAAUGACCAUGGGGAGGAGAGCACGAACAUCAACAACCUCUUGGCCUUGUUGGCUUCUCCGACAUCAAUAACGACGACUAGCUCGCCAUACAGUUGCUAGAGUGCUAAAGAAUGGUCGAGAAGAACAAUGGAUUGUUGAUGGAGCCAAUCAACAAGGACGAUAAGGACGGCCACAACAGUGAGAAUAAGAAGGGGGAGCUCAUCGCCGUCGGCCGCCAGCUCUGCAGGGAGAAGAAGAACGACAAUGCGUUAAUUAUAAAGAAGUCAACAAUGCCACCUGGUGUGCAAAGGGUCCUAAGUUGAGGUGCUUCUGAGUUUAUCAAUCAGGUGAGGCAUGUGGUGCCCUUUCGGAAUGUCGUUUUCUUCUUCCUUGCAUCUCAAAUGCAAGCAACCAUGCUUCUACCGAGGCUUAGAAGAAACGAAGAUGCUGUUGUCAAGAAUUUCACCCCACCCAUUGCAUUGGAUAUCACCUCUGGCUGCAGCAAUAGUGUGUCAAUCUAGCUCACGUGAAUUGAGCUACGCAAUGUCCUAUUAUUACUCUGUUACUCAAAGAGUUGGUAUCCCUAAAUAGUAAGAACAGAGAAGAUUCUUAGUGAGUUAUUACACGUAUUUUAUUCUGAUCUCCUAUAAAAAUCUUUUGUGGUUUAGGCACAACCCAUAUUAUGGUUCUUUUAUACCAAUUAAGUUCACUAUUCGACGAAAUUCCUUUUCACUAAAAUAAGAACCACGUAAUGCUUACAAUUGAUCUGGUCAGCUAGAUAACUAAAUGAGUUAAAAUUAUGCGUACUAACUUUUGACAUAUGUAAUGUGGGGUAGAAGACCAGUGUCUCUUGCUAGGGAUUUCUGGAGGCAACAUCCCUCUGAUUGUAUGCACUUAACUAUUUUGCUUCUGGCUUCCUGCUAUUGUAUUUUACAUUGUCUGCAGAUGCAAAUUCUUUUACGACUAAUCAGUCUCGGAUAAUACUUCAACCCAGACAUCAACGGAGCAAAGAACUUGAUUAAAAGGUUCAAGGAGCUCCGACGCUUUCUAUGACCAAAGAAUUCAUUCAAGCCAGAUUUUCUUUCAAGAUAACAAUAAUGCCUAGGAGCAUCCCUAUCCAUUGAACAAUACCGGAGAGAUAGAGCGCUACUGCCUUACACUUUUCAAUAUCCCUAGCUUUAUUUUCAUUAUUGUGAUAAUUGUGGUAUUUAAAAAUUUAGAAUGCCUUGUGCGAUUAUCUGUGGAUUUUGCAACCCAUGUAAUCUCCUAUUAGACUGGAUAUGAUCAAAAUAAUUCAGCUUUUCAUCAUUGGUUGUCAUCAAGUAGAGCUUAUUUUGUGGAUGGAUGCAUUGGUUUAUGUUUCCAGGCUUUUAGUUUUUCCCUUAUAAUAUUCAGUUGAUUCCCGUGAGGGGUGGCGACCCAUGCUGGACGUGUGAUGAGGGGAGUGUUGUUGAUGCGGUAUGGGAGAUGUCUCGUGGAGAGAGGGGAGGGUGAAAAAGUGAUGGAUCGCAAAUGUUUGGAUGUGCUCGAUCUAACAAUUGACCUGGCGGACAGAUAUCAAGGGUGAUGUUGAGGCCGGCGGCAAAAUAAAUGGCCAAAUGGGGCUCCUCAAUGCAAGUGAGAAGGCUGAUUGAUUCCCGUGGAGCAAUGCAAUGUUGCAUCACAAUGUAUUGGGUUCCAUUUUUGGGCAGAGAAGAAGUGAUUAAG